GAUGAACGCUGGCGGCGUGCCUAAUACAUGCAAGUCGAGCGAACGGACGAGAAGCUUGCUUCUCUGAUGUUAGCGGCGGACGGGUGAGUAACACGUGGAUAACCUACCUAUAAGACUGGGAUAACUUCGGGAAACCGGAGCUAAUACCGGAUAAUAUUUUGAACCGCAUGGUUCAAAAGUGAAAGACGGUCUUGCUGUCACUUAUAGAUGGAUCCGCGCUGCAUUAGCUAGUUGGUAAGGUAACGGCUUACCAAGGCAACGAUGCAUAGCCGACCUGAGAGGGUGAUCGGCCACACUGGAACUGAGACACGGUCCAGACUCCUGCGGGAGGCAGCAGUAGGGAAUCUUCCGCAAUGGGCGAAAGCCUGACGGAGCAACGCCGCGUGAGUGAUGAAGGUCUUAGGAUCGUAAAACUCUGUUAUUAGGGAAGAACAUAUGUGUAAGUAACUGUGCACAUCUUGACGGUACCUAAUCAGAAAGCCACGGCUAACUACGUG
rnacentral:rRNA from 1 species